CGUUAGACCUGAUUGACAGUUACUGUAUGUCCGAGGAUGGUGGAUGGCCUGAGGACAGGCAGCACCGCUCCUCAAGCAGCAGCCUCCGUGGUCAAGAGCUUACACCCUGCGGCUCUCUGGGUUCUUCUGAGGAUGCUUGGUAGUCUCCGCCUCUCACCUGGAACCGCACCACCUUCUCCGUGGCGAGGCAUAACCUCCCAUCGAAGUCUGAAGCAUCUUGUCUGCUGAUUGGUGGGGAGGCAGCUGCUCCUUCCACCCUGCAGUGAAGACGCCCUGGAAGAGAGCAGAGACUGCAUUGGUCUCGUCCAGGGGGAUGCUCAGUGCCCAGCAGUGAACACAGGGCCUGGUGCGUGACCCUCAGAUUUCUGAGCCACCUUGGCAUGCAGGAUCCACACAGUCUGCUCGCAUCUCUGCUGCAGGCACGUGCGCACACCUUCCCUUAAGAUGGUGGCAUGCUCUGGAGAUGACCUAGGGAUGG